rnacentral:tRNA from 1 species
GCUGGCGUGGCACAACCUGGUACUGCGCGGGAUUGCUAAUCCCGUUUCGCGCAAGCGAUUUCCCGGUUCAAAUCCGGGCGCCAGCG